AAUCAGAAAGGUUUCGUUGAUGGCGGGGUGGUUGGACGUUGAGGGCGAAUGAGAGUAUCAUGGGAUCAUUUUCUAAUUCACCUAAGAUGACGGAUGUCUAGUUCAAGCAUCUUGUUUGAAAGACGACACCAAUGAGCAGUGUACAGAUGUUCAGCCAAAAAAGUCCUUAUCACCGUCUGAAUCUCAGGUGUAAAUCUUUCACAGAUACAUGAAGCAAUGGGAAACCAAUUAUACAGAAAUAACAUUAAAAAAGAAGUUAAAUCUGA